rnacentral:rRNA from 1 species
UACGAGGGGGGCAAGCGUUGUUCGGAAUUAUUGGGCGUAAAGGGCGCGUAGGCGGUGCGGUAAGUCACCUGUGAAAUCUCCGGGCUUAACUCGGAGCCUGCAGGCGAAACUGCCGUGCUUGAGUGUGGGAGAGGUGCGUGGAAUUCCCGGUGUAGCGGUGAAAUGCGUAGAUAUCGAUCGGAACACCCGUGGCGAAGGCGGCUUGCUGGCUCGCAACUGACGCUGAGGCGCGAAAGCGUGGGGAGCAAACAGG